rnacentral:miRNA from 2 species
GCAAGUGCAUUUUGGAAUGUGAC